rnacentral:rRNA from 1 species
GUGUCAGCCGCCGCGGUAAUACGGAGGGUGCGAGCGUUAAUCGGAAUUACUGGGCGUAAAGCGCACGCAGGCGGUUUGUUAAGCUAGAUGUGAAAGCCCCGGGCUCAACCUGGGAUGGUCAUUUAGAACUGGCAGACUAGAGUCUUGGAGAGGGGAGUGGAAUUCCAGGUGUAGCGGUGAAAUGCGUAGAUAUCUGGAGGAACAUCAGUGGCGAAGGCGACUCCCUGGCCAAAGACUGACGCUCAUGUGCGAAAGUGUGGGUAGCGAACAGGAUUAGAUACCCUGGUAGUCCACACCGUAAACGCUGUCUACUAGCUGUGUGUGCCUUUAAGGCGUGCGUAGCGAAGCUAACGCGCUAAGUAGACCGCCUGGGGAGUACGGCCGCAAGGUUAAA